rnacentral:rRNA from 1 species
CUUCGGCCCCAAUUGAGUGGCGAACGGGUGAGUAACGCGUGGGUGACCUACCUUCGAGUGGGGGAUAACGUCCCGAAAGGGACGCUAAUACCGCAUAACAUCCUGCCUUUGAACAGGCGGAGAUCAAAGCCGGGGAUCGCAAGACCUGGCGCUUGAUGAGGGGCCCGCGUCUGAUUAGCUAGUUGGUGAGGUAAUGGCCCACCAAGGCGACGAUCAGUAUCCGGCCUGAGAGGGCGGACGGACACACUGGGACUGAGACACGGCCCAGACUCCUACGGGAGGCAGCAGUGGGGAAUUGUUCGCAAUGGGCGCAAGCCUGACGACGCAACGCCGCGUGGAGGAUGAAGGUCUUCGGAUUGUAAACUCCUGUUGCCCGGGACGAAUAGCUUCGACCUAACACGUCGGAGUAUGACGGUACCGGGUGAGGAAGCCCCGGCUAACUCUGUGCCAGCAGCCGCGGUAAUACAGAGGGGGCAAGCGUUGUUCGGAAUUACUGGGCGUAAAGGGCGCGUAGGCGGCCUGCUAAGUCGAACGUGAAAUCCCCGGGCUCAACCCGGGAACUGCGUCCGAUACUGGUUGGCUUGAAUCCGGGAGAGGGAUGCGGAAUUCCAGGUGUAGCGGUGAAAUGCGUAGAUAUCUGGAGGAACACCGGUGGCGAAGGCGGCAUCCUGGACCGGCAUUGACGCUGAG